GACGAACGCUGGCGGCGUGCUUAACACAUGCAAGUCGAACGGAAAGGCCCCUUUGGGGGUACUCGAGUGGCGCACGGGUGAGUAACACGUGAGUAACCUGCCCUUGACUUCGGGAUAACUUCAGGAAACUGGGGCUAAUACCGGAUAGGAAUCCUUGCUGCAUGGUGGGGGUUGGAAAGCUUCGGCGGUUUUGGAUGGACUCGCGGCUUAUCAGCUUGUUGGUGGGGUAGUGGCUUACCAAGGCUUUGACGGGUAGCCGGCCUGAGAGGGCGACCGGCCACAUUGGGACUGAGAUACGGCCCAGACGCCUACGGGAGGCAGCAGUGGGGAAUAUUGCACAAGGGGCGGAAGCCUGAUGCAGCAACGCCGCGUGCGGGAUGACGGCCUUCGGGUUGUAAACCGCUUUCAGCAGGGGCGAAGCUUGUGGUGACGGUACCUGCAGAAGAAGCACCGGCUAACUACGUG
rnacentral:rRNA from 1 species